UACAGAGGGCGCAAGCGUUGCUCGGAUUUACUGGGCGUAAAGCGUACGCAGACGGUAAGAAAGGUCGGAUGUGAAAGCCCCGGGCUCAACCCGGGAACUGCAUCCGAAACCAUCUUGCUAGAGUAUGGGAGAGGGAAGCGGAAUUCCUGGUGUAGAGGUGAAAUUCGUAGAUAUCAGGAGGAACACCGGCGGCGAAGGCGGCUUCCUGGCCCAUUACUGACGUUCAGGUACGAAAGCGUGGGUAGCAAACAGG
rnacentral:rRNA from 1 species